UUAAGCGACUAAGCGUACACGGUGGAUGCCCUGGCAGUCAGAGGCGAUGAAGGACGUGCUAAUCUGCGAAAAGCGUCGGUAAGGUGAUAUGAACCGUUAUAACCGGCGAUGUCCGAAUGGGGAAACCCAGUGCAAUUCGUUGCACUAUCGUUAACUGAAUACAUAGGUUAACGAGGCGAACCGGGGGAACUGAAACAUCUAAGUACCCCGAGGAAAAGAAAUCAACCGAGAUUCCCCCAGUAGCGGCGAGCGAACGGGGAGCAGCCCAGAGUCUGAAUCAGCUUGUGUGUUAGUGGAACGGUCUGGAAAGUCCGACGGUACAGGGUGAUAGUCCCGUACACCAAAAUGCACAGGUUGUGAACUCGAAGAGUAGGGCGGGACACGUGGUAUCCUGUCUGAAUAUGGGGGGACCAUCCUCCAAGGCUAAAUACUCCUGACUGACCGAUAGUGAACCAGUACCGUGAGGGAAAGGCGAAAAGAACCCCGGCGAGGGGAGUGAAAAAGAACCUGAAACCGUGUACGUACAAGCAGUGGGAGCACCUUCGGGUGUGACUGCGUACCUUUUGUAUAAUGGGUCAGCGACUUAUAUUCUGUAGCAAGGUUAACCGUAUAGGGGAGCCGCAGGGAAACCGAGUCUUAACUGGGCGUUAAGUUGCAGGGUAUAGACCCGAAACCCGGUGAUCUAGCCAUGGGCAGGUUGAAGGUUGGGUAACACUAACUGGAGGACCGAACCGACUAAUGUUGAAAAAUUAGCGGAUGACUUGUGGCUGGGGGUGAAAGGCCAAUCAAACCGGGAGAUAGCUGGUUCUCCCCGAAAGCUAUUUAGGUAGCGCCUCGUGAACUCAUCUUCGGGGGUAGAGCACUGUUUCGGCUAGGGGGUCAUCCCGACUUACCAACCCGAUGCAAACUACGAAUACCGAAGAAUGUUAUCACGGGAGACACACGGCGGGUGCUAACGUCCGUCGUGAAGAGGGAAACAACCCAGACCGCCAGCUAAGGUCCCAAAGUCAUGGUUAAGUGGGAAACGAUGUGGGAAGGCACAGACAGCCAGGAUGUUGGCUUAGAAGCAGCCAUCAUUUAAAGAAAGCGUAAUAGCUCACUGGUCGAGUCGGCCUGCGCGGAAGAUGUAACGGGGCUAAACCAUGCACCGAAGCUGCGGCAGCGACACUAUGUGUUGUUGGGUAGGGGAGCGUUCUGUAAGCCUGCGAAGGUGUGCUGUGAGGCAUGCUGGAGGUAUCAGAAGUGCGAAUGCUGACAUAAGUAACGAUAAAGCGGGUGAAAAGCCCGCUCGCCGGAAGACCAAGGGUUCCUGUCCAACGUUAAUCGGGGCAGGGUGAGUCGACCCCUAAGGCGAGGCCGAAAGGCGUAGUCGAUGGGAAACAGGUUAAUAUUCCUGUACUUGGUGUUACUGCGAAGGGGGGACGGAGAAGGCUAUGUUAGCCGGGCGACGGUUGUCCCGGUUUAAGCAUGUAGGCUGGUUAUCCAGGCAAAUCCGGAUAAUCAAGGCUGAGGUGUGAUGACGAGGCACUACGGUGCUGAAGUAACAAAUGCCCUGCUUCCAGGAAAAGCCUCUAAGCAUCAGGUAACAUCAAAUCGUACCCCAAACCGACACAGGUGGUCAGUUAGAGAAUACCAAGGCGCUUGAGAGAACUCGGGUGAAGGAACUAGGCAAAAUGGUGCCGUAACUUCGGGAGAAGGCACGCUGGUGUGUAGGUGAAGCCCCUGCGGGUGGAGCUGAGACCAGUCGAAGAUACCAGCUGGCUGCAACUGUUUAUUAAAAACACAGCACUGUGCAAACACGAAAGUGGACGUAUACGGUGUGACGCCUGCCCGGUGCCGGAAGGUUAAUUGAUGGGGUUAUCCGUAAGGAGAAGCUCUUGAUCGAAGCCCCGGUAAACGGCGGCCGUAACUAUAACGGUCCUAAGGUAGCGAAAUUCCUUGUCGGGUAAGUUCCGACCUGCACGAAUGGCGUAAUGAUGGCCAGGCUGUCUCCACCCGAGACUCAGUGAAAUUGAACUCGCUGUGAAGAUGCAGUGUACCCGCGGCAAGACGGAAAGACCCCGUGAACCUUUACUAUAGCUUGACACUGAACAUUGAGCCUUGAUGUGUAGGAUAGGUGGGAGGCUUUGAAGCGUGGACGCCAGUCUGCGUGGAGCCAACCUUGAAAUACCACCCUUUAAUGUUUGAUGUUCUAACGUUGGCCCCUGACCGGGGUUGCGGACAGUGUCUGGUGGGUAGUUUGACUGGGGCGGUCUCCUCCCAAAGCGUAACGGAGGAGCACGAAGGUUAGCUAAUCCUGGUCGGACAUCAGGAGGUUAGUGCAAUGGCAUAAGCUAGCUUGACUGCGAGCGUGACGGCGCGAGCAGGUGCGAAAGCAGGUCAUAGUGAUCCGGUGGUUCUGAAUGGAAGGGCCAUCGCUCAACGGAUAAAAGGUACUCCGGGGAUAACAGGCUGAUACCGCCCAAGAGUUCAUAUCGACGGCGGUGUUUGGCACCUCGAUGUCGGCUCAUCACAUCCUGGGGCUGAAGUAGGUCCCAAGGGUAUGGCUGUUCGCCAUUUAAAGUGGUACGCGAGCUGGGUUUAGAACGUCGUGAGACAGUUCGGUCCCUAUCUGCCGUGGGCGCUGGAGAAUUGAGGGGGGCUGCUCCUAGUACGAGAGGACCGGAGUGGACGCAUCACUGGUGUUCGGGUUGUCAUGCCAAUGGCACUGCCCGGUAGCUAAAUGCGGAAGAGAUAAGUGCUGAAAGCAUCUAAGCACGAAACUUGCCCCGAGAUGAGUUCUCCCUGAGACUUUAAGUCUCCUGAAGGAACGUUAAAGACGAUGACGUUGAUAGGCCGGGUGUGUAAGCGCAGCGAUGCGUUGAGCUAACCGGUACUAAUGAACCGUGAGGCUUAACCUU
rnacentral:rRNA from 1 species